GACAGCAAUAUGAAGGCCAGGCUGAAGACUUUGCCGGAUUGGCUGAGAGGUGGUGCAUGGCCGUCGUCAGUUCGUACUGUGAAGCAUCCUGUUAAGUCAGGCAACGAGCGAGACCCACGCCCACAGUUGCCAGCGUACUCUCUGGAGUGACGGGUACACUGUGGGACCGCCGCUGCUAAAGCGGAGGAAGGAAUGGGCAACGGUAGGUCAGUAUGCCCCGAAUAUCCCGGGCUACACGCGAGCUACAAUGGUUGGUACAAUGGGUAUCUACCCCGAAAGGGGACGGGAAUCUCCUAAAACCAAUCUUAGUUCGGAUUGAGGGCUGCAACUCGCCCUCAUGAAGCUGGAAUCCGUAGUAAUCGCGUUUCAACAGAACGCGGUGAAUACGUCCCUGCUCCUU
rnacentral:rRNA from 1 species